rnacentral:rRNA from 1 species
CAAGUCUUGACAUCCCUCUGAAUCCUCUAGAGAUAGAGGCGGCCUUCGGGACAGAGGUGACAGGUGGUGCAUGGUUGUCGUCAGCUCGUGUCGUGAGAUGUUGGGUUAAGUCCCGCAACGAGCGCAACCCUUGAUUUUAGUUGCCAGCACUUUAAGGUGGGCACUCUAGAAUGACUGCCGGUGACAAACCGGAGGAAGGCGGGGAUGACGUCAAAUCAUCAUGCCCCUUAUGACUUGGGCUAUACACGUACUACAAUGGCUGGUACAACGGGAAGCGAAGCCGCGAGGUGGAGCCAAUCCUAUAAAAGCCAGUCUCAGUUCGGAUUGCAGGCUGCAACUCGCCUGCAUGAAGUCGGAAUUGCUAGUAAUCGCGGAUCAGCAUGCCGCGGUGAAUACGUUCCC